AAAAUCUGACCAGUCCCAGCUCUUUUGCCAGGGCACACGUUUCCAAGGGCAUGGGCCAGCCACUGGACAGGCCCUCUUCGGGUGAGCGAUGGCAAAAUAUAGGGUCCCUCCUAAGAACAGUCAUUAGGAGAGCAGCAGCUGUGAGGGCUGAUUAGCCUAGAAGGGAACAUUGGAUUUGGCAGCCAAUCCUCUAGCACGACAGAAUUAACACAAAACAAGCACUUUGGAUGAGGGAUACUCAACCUGCACCGUUACUCACUGGAGAGCGUCUCAGUAACCCACAGACCCACACCCCUUCAACUUACCUCAUGUGCAGGGAGCCGGACCAGGACAUGUACAGCAGGAUGAGGAAGAGGAGCACCACGAAGGCAGCCAGGCUCACCCAGAAUGCGAUCACGAUGGAAUCUGUGGGAGGAGGAGAUGCAUCUCAGCGCUGGGUUGAUGUCGACAUAAAGCAAUACUGAGGGGCAGUAAGGAGUCCCAGGGUAUUGUGGAAUGAGGGCCCUGAGUUUCGGUUGUCCUCCAGCCUCUCAGCUGUUACCAUGGGGAAGAUCUCCCAUUAACAAUAACUUUGGGAAAGAA
rnacentral:antisense_RNA from 1 species